rnacentral:rRNA from 1 species
GACGAACGCUGGCGGCGUGCCUAAUACAUGCAAGUCGAGCGCAGGAAAUCGACGGAACCCUUCGGGGGGAAGUCGACGGAAUGAGCGGCGGACGGGUGAGUAACACGUAAAGAACCUGCCCUCAGGUCUGGGAUAACCACGAGAAAUCGGGGCUAAUACCGGAUGGGUCAUCGGACCGCAUGGUCCGAGGAUGAAAGGCGCUCCGGCGUCGCCUGGGGAUGGCUUUGCGGUGCAUUAGCUAGUUGGUGGGGUAAUGGCCCACCAAGGCGACGAUGCAUAGCCGACCUGAGAGGGUGAUCGGCCACACUGGGACGGAGACACGGCCCAGACUCCUACGGGAGGCAGCAGUAGGGAAUCUUCCACAAUGGACGAAAGGCUGAUGGAGCAACGCCGCGUGAACGAUGAAGGCCUUCGGGUCGUAAAGUUCUGUUGUAAGGGAAGAACAAGUGCCGCAGGCAAUGGCGGCACCUUGACGGUACCUUGCGAGAAAGCCACGGCUAACUACGUGCCAGCAGCCGCAGUAAGAC